GGGCUCUAGACUUAACCUGUCAGCAGAGGACUAGAGGUUAGAUCACAGGCUGAACUCAGGAGGGUCCUGACAUACGUCCUUCGGAUGUGGCCUAGGGGCCUGGGCAGCAGCCUGCUCUUCUGGGCUAUUCCACCUUUCCGCCUCCUGCCCUCCUGUCGGAGUGCGCACGGUGAGAUGCUUGUCUUCCCUGUGUGGAAAUGCUGGGAAAUAGGAGGCUCUGGUGUCCAUCCUCUCCAUUCCCCUUCCUCCAGCUCUGCCAGCCCUGGCCCUGCACUGCUCAUGUCACAACCUGUGGGCACCUCCUCUGUACCAAGGGUGGAAUAGAGGCAGCCUGGCAGGGUCUGUUCUGAGUCUGGAUUCUCCUGCUGGCUGAUGCCCAGGGCUGCCUCCCCUAUGAACGUGACCAGGUCCUAUGUGCACAUCCUGGACAAUGUGCUGGCAGGAGGAAGAAGGCUGCUCCACAGGCACCCCACCACAGCCCUGUCCCACUGGAAGCAGCCUCCUACCCCCAGCACCUGACUUCCAAGCACAGGGAGCUGGUGCCAAGCACUGAGGAGGCUGGGUGGCCCUGAAGUGAUGACUUCUGGGGUGGGAAGUCUAUAAAGAAGGGGGCAUUUCUGUCUCAGGGAUCCUGUGGUUGCUCCCCUACUGGCAACAGCAGAAAUGGCACAGGAGGGGGCUCUGUGGCAUUCACCGUGUCUUCUCUCAGAGUCCAGAUGGGCACCUGGGAAAAUGCUAUUGAAUGAAUGGCCGUGUCCAUCCUCCCCUAGCGCCCCACAAUCACCAGCCUCCCUCCUCCACACUCUGUCCUUUACAGACUACAAGGACUGAGUUAUUCUUAGUAGGUUUCAUUCAUCAAAGUGUGACAAACGGUGUCCUGGGAGGAAUGCUUGGGCCGUGAGGAGAGCCAGGGGAGUGGGGUGGGGUGCAAAUGCCACAUGUGUGGGGAGAAUCUGAUGAUUUCAAGGAGCCCCAGUAUGAGGGGAGACACGGCCCGACCCUCAGGGAGCCCCAGUCUGAGGGGAGACACGGCCCCGUGUUCGGGGAGCCCCAGUCUGAGGGGAGACCCAGCCCUGUCCUCAGGGAGCCCCAGUCUGAGGGGAGACACGGCCCCGUGUUCGGGGAGCCCCAGUCUGAGGGGAGACACAGUCCUGUCCUCAGGGAGUCCCAGUCUGAGGGGAGACACUGCCCUGCCCUCAAGGAACCUCUAGUCUCAUGGCAGAAAUUAGCUGUCAUCCCUGCUGGAGAAGAUAUGGUGCCUACCCAAGGCACAGACUGAAACUCAAGACGUAAAAAGGAGGUACUAGAGGGGUUUCUAGAAGCGUGUUCAGCCACCACUGCCACCGCAUGGGGGGAGACAAAAAGGGGGGUCCCAGUGACACUCACCUCGCAGGCUUAUGGAGAAACACGCAAAGAUGACAAAGGGUGGCAAUAGUGCGGACUGAGAUCCUAGCAGCUGAGGAAAAGGGUGAAGGCACAGGCCAGCUGGGCUGGUCUAAAUCCCGUGUUUCACACUCAAAAGCCUCAGGGACCAGUCUGGCCACACUGGCCUUUCCCUACGGGGAGGCAGUCGGAAAGCCCACACUGUCUGCAGGAUCUCAUCUUCAAUACAAAGACCACAUCCUCCCACAGGCCGCUCCACACCUCACUAAAGAUUAACCCUGGCCCAAGGCCGCGAGCCUGCGACUCCCUGGACACCAGGGAAGAAUUCCCGACAGAGGAGAGGUUUGAGCCUGGUUGGAUAAAGAAGUAGACAGCCAAGUUGCUCCCCCUUAGUCUUGGCUGCCAGGCCUGGCUUUGUGUCUUCAGGGCCUCCUCCCACCCUUCCUGGGAUGGGAGACUGAAGCCACCCGUUGCCAGCUCCCUUGUGACGAACAGGCCACAGCUGGUCGGCUGCCAAGGGCUCCGGGUCUAUGAUGGGGGAUCACCUUUCUUUGCAGGAACGUAAUGCCCUCGCCAAGGGAAGGAGACGGUGGGGCGUCAUAGAGCCACCCUUAAAUGAGCUGAUCUGGAAGUUUGGCUUGGUGGCCUUCCCUGAGAGCCUUUACUGUUUUGUGCCUCAUACGCAAUAUGGGGAUACUGUUGCCCUGGUGCCCUACCCACUCCUCCCCCGGACAGUUAGCUUUCCAAUAGGCCUCAGUGUCCAUGUCAACGAAAUGGGUCCACCGUCCCUACUCUCCCAGUCCCUUCCAGCAGAGAUCUCCAGGACUGUAGGCUUACAGGGAGGGAGGGGCUGGUCCCCAAGUCCCGCACCUCCCCUCUCCCCACUCCAAGUGGGGGUCGCAGAACUCUCUCCUGGGACUGCGGGGCAGUCCCGGAGGGCAGCAGGGGGCGGCGGGCUGAGCGGAUGCGCGCUGUCCUGGGCACCAGGGACAGGUUCAGGGACCGGGGAGGGGCGGCCUAAUUACGGCAUGUUGGCCCAGCGCCGCAGAGCGCCGCGAACGAGAGCGGCAGUGGGUAAUUAGAGAGCAUUAGCCGUGCCCCUGCAAUCCUGUAAUUUCUCCGCGCGCUCCGGGUGUGUUGUAGGAGGUGAAGCGAUGCGGGCUCGGCUCUGAGUCAGACUCUCAGAAGCCCGGGUGGGGACACAGGGGGCGGCAGAGGCCGCGGAGAAGGGACUCCUGCCGUAGGAGGCGCCGGCGCCUUUCCCUAGCACGAAGUCACCCGUCCUGGGGCAGCUCGCGGGGCGCCCACUUCCGCGGACACAGGAGGGCGGGGCCAGGAGGGGCGUGGCCUGCUCCUCCUCCCGCCUCCAGGGGGCGCUCCUCGGUCCAGCGGAUCUUCUCGGGGGGCAUCGAGUCUAGUUCCCGGGCACGCAGGCAUGUGGCCUGCUCUCUGCGCGCAGGUGGACUGAAAGAGAUGCAGAUGCAGUGCACGAGGCAGAGGCGCCCCGAGUCCCGUCAGACAUGGGCAACAGACGUAGGACAGCAAGAGAAAAAAAAGCAGAGACAUCUGAAGGGAGUGGGGGCGCUUGUUUCACCCAAGCCCUGGAAUCAAUUCUCGGGGAGCAGGGAGGAGCCAGUGGGGGACUGAGGCUGGGAGGGGAGUUUAUUUAUUAGCCAGAUUAGCUAGCAUUAAUGGGGGAGCCGUGGUGGCCGGCGGCGGCGGGGACAUAGCUGGCAUAACUGGCAUAGCGGCGGGGCCUCCCGCGGCGCGGGGCUCUGGCGGCUUCAAAGGGGCUUAGGGAGGCCCGUGGUGGCACUGCCACGGCCCCGCGGGGGAGGGCGUGGGCGCUGGCGGCGGGGGAGAAGGCGGCCAUUGUGCACCGAGGGAUUAGGGAUCUGGCUUGGAAGGAAUUUUAAACUGCUGCAAGCCGGCGCCCCAGGACUCCCCCUCCCUCCUCACAGCUGCUUUCCAGAGCACGCUGAGGUGUUUACCUGCAUUUCCGUGUAUGGGAGUCCCCCCUCCUCCCUCAAAUUGGAGGCAUCUAGGGCUCUCAGAUUUGGCAAAUAAAAAUACGGGACGUCCAGUUAAAUUUGAAGUUCAAAUAAACAACGAAUCAUAUUUCAGUACAAGUAUAUCCCCUACAACAUGUGGGGCAUACUUAUACUAAAAAAAUUAUUCGUUGUUAGUUUAAAUUUACCUGGGCAUCUUGUAUUUUUUUCUAGCAGCCCUACAGUCACCAAAAUGUCUAACCUGUGUUUGCAACAGAUUGGGGGCUCCGGAAAAAUUCGCUGGGGUUGUGUGUCCCUACCCGCAGACUACGACGUUUCCUACAGCCAGCUGGGAGAGAGAGAUUUGUAGACACAGCGACUCGGAGACACACAGGGAAGAUGGACACAUGAUGAUGGAGGCAGAGAUUGGAGUGAUGCAGCUGUAAGCCAAGGAACACCGGGGAUUGCUGGCAAACGCCAGGAGCUAGGAGAGAGGCAUGCAACAGACUCCCUCAGAGCCUCCAGAAGGAACCAAACCUGCUGACACGUUGAUUUUGGACUCUGGCCUCCUUAACUACGAGAGAGUAAAUUUCUGUUGGUUUAAGCCACCAAGUCUGUGGUAAUUUGUUAUGGCAGCUCUAGGAAACGAAUACAGUCACACACACACACGUGCACACACACACACGCACACACACACAUGCUGCUGGCUCUAGGCUCAGUGACGAGGUUGGUGGAGUUCCUCUUGGGAGCUGCUCUGCCUCUGUCCUCCUUCCCCUGUGGCUGGUCCCAUGAACCCAAAAAAGCUCAUGGCCCAGGGCAGGAGCAUGAUAAUUUUCAAUCCCUCCUUCCCUCCCUGGAGUUGUUAACUAAGCAUCCCCC
rnacentral:lncRNA from 1 species